AGAUACCCUGGUAUAAUAAUAAUUUAUAAAUUAGUAGUAUUGAAAUUUAAAAUUUUUGGCGGUUGAUAUUUAUUUGGAGGAGCUUGUUAUUAGAAUUAACUCUUUAUAUUUUAUAUAUAAAAGUUUAUUUAUCUCCGUUAUAAGAUGAAAAUUUUAAAAUUUUUUAAUUAUAUUUCAGGUCAAGAUGUAGCUAUUAUAUAAAUAUAUUAGCUACAUUUAUGGAAUAAUGAAUUUUUAUUAUAAAAAGAUUAAUGAAAUUGAAUUUAGUUGUAAUAAAGUUUAAUGGGAUUUUAUGAAAAUUUUAGGUUAAUGUAUAUAUUGCCCGUCACUUCUGUUGGUGAAAUGGAAUAAGUCGUAACAAAGUA
rnacentral:rRNA from 1 species